rnacentral:rRNA from 1 species
UACAGAGGGUGCGAGCGUUAAUCGGAUUUACUGGGCGUAAAGCGUGUGUAGGUGGUUUGUUAAGUCGGAUGUGAAAGCCCUGGGCUCAACCUGGGAACUGCAUUCGAUACUGGCAGGCUAGAGUACGGUAGAGGGAGGCGGAACUCCGGGUGUAGCGGUGAAAUGCGUAGAUAUCCGGAAGAACACCGAUGGCGAAGGCAACCUCCUGGGCCUGUACUGACACUGAGACACGAAAGCGUGGGGAGCAAACAGG